GUCGAGCGAGACCUUCGGGUCUAGCGGCGGACGGGUGAGUAACGCGUGGGAACGUGCCCUUCUCUACGGAAUAGCCCCGGGAAACUGGGAGUAAUACCGUAUACGCCCUUUGGGGGAAAGAUUUAUCGGAGAAGGAUCGGCCCGCGUUGGAUUAGGUAGUUGGUGGGGUAAUGGCCCACCAAGCCGACGAUCCAUAGCUGGUUUGAGAGGAUGAUCAGCCACACUGGGACUGAGACACGGCCCAGACUCCUACGGGAGGCAGCAGUGGGGAAUCUUAGACAAUGGGGGCAACCCUGAUCUAGCCAUGCCGCGUGAGUGAUGAAGGCCUUAGGGUUGUAAAGCUCUUUCAGCUGGGAAGAUAAUGACGGUACCAGCAGAAGAAGCCCCGGCUAACUCCGUGCCAGCAGCCGCGGUAAUACGGAGGGGGCUAGCGUUGUUCGGAAUUACUGGGCGUAAAGCGCACGUAGGCGGACUGGAAAGUCAGAGGUGAAAUCCCAGGGCUCAACCUUGGAACUGCCUUUGAAACUAUCAGUCUGGAGUUCGAGAGAGGUGAGUGGAAUUCCGAGUGUAGAGGUGAAAUUCGUAGAUAUUCGGAGGAAC
rnacentral:rRNA from 10 species